UGACAAAUCAUAUUAUAUAUGAAAUCCUCUCAGCCAAAUCAUUCUAUAAACAAAAAUGAGGGUAAAAGAUUGACUCAAGUUUGACACAAAUAAUAGACAAGAUGAAAACUAAUAUUAACUAAAGACCACAUAUGUUUUCCUGAUGAUUGCAAUGUAAGGAUGGCUUUCAUGAACCAUCUGGUUUGGACUAGGACUGCAGAGUUGCCUGCGAAGUUGCUUGAGCCCUCUAGAGAAAAUCAAGCAGAUUAUCCGUCUCCUUUUACUUCUUUGCCCAGACUUCAUUCUUCUCUUGUUGGAUCUUCUUUAGAGCUUCCAAUUCUUCUUGUUGCUUCUUUUGUAUCUCUUCAAAUGCUCUCUCUCAUGCUUCAAGUCUUGCGGCUAACUCCUCCCAAUGCCUAUAAAUGAAAAACACAACAACCUUGCAUCAUAAUGAGAUGAAAACUAACAAGAUAACAUGCAUAACCUAGAGCUAGAGGUAUAAUGGUUAAAGUACAUGUAAUCAAUGCACCCCUUAGCUUAGCAUACACAUCACACAUGCGUUUAUGUUCCGCGAGGAAUGCCCUCCUUUUCGUCUCACUCUCCCAAACUAGUGGCAUGAUUGUAGUACCUAAACCUGCAAGAUGAAAAAGAGUGGAACUAAAUGAAUUGCAAAAUACUUACUAGCAUGUGCCAUAAAACUAAUUAAAUGAAUUCCACCUCAAGUCGUUUGGAAUUGGACCUUAGACAAUGCAACAAUUUUUCAUGCGCAUACGAACUUUCCUAAAACAAACAAGAAUGUAAUAAAGUAGCAAAAUUAGCACGCAAAUACAUGUUUGUCUUUGCAUUGAUGGUAAAAAUUAACAAAACAGGUUCUGUAACGUAGUACUUUCAAUAAGCAGCACUAUUAAUAGGCAUUUCACGUAAUAUUGUAUUAACUAAAAAUGAAGAUUUUUCAAUGCUAGAAGACGCAGCCAGCAAGCCUAUGAAAACAAGAUGAGAAAAUUCAGAAGAGAAAAAUGGCAAAACCUAAGAUUACUAUAGAUGAUACACAAGUGCUUGACUAGAAAGAUUACUUACAAAAACUUGCCAAUAAUGGUAGCAAAGAUUUCCUAGUACAUUACGAAGCUAUUUACUCAAUCAAGCAAUUUAAUUUGAUGGCAAUGUGAUAAAAUAUAAUAUAAGAAACAAGGACUCCACAAAUAUUAGAGCAUCUCUGAGUGCAAUGCUGGACCAAAUCCCGUCCACGCCCUCCUCCACCUUCAGC
rnacentral:lncRNA from 1 species